rnacentral:rRNA from 1 species
ACGGGUGAGUAACGCGUGGGAACCUUCCUAGUAGUACGGAAUAACCUCGGGAAACCGUGGCUAAUACCGUAUAAGCCCUCCGGGGGAAAGAUUUAUCGCUACUAGAUGGGCCCGCGUAGGAUUAGCUUGUUGGUGAGGUAAUGGCUCACCAAGGCUGCGAUCCUUAGCUGGUCUGAGAGGAUGAUCAGCCACACUGGGACUGAGACACGGCCCAGACUCCUACGGGAGGCAGCAGUAGGGAAUAUUGGACAAUGGGCGCAAGCCUGAUCCAGCCAUGCCGCGUGAGUGAAGAAGGCCUUAGGGUUGUAAAGCUCUUUUGGUGGGGAAGAUAAUGACGGUACCCACAGAAUAAGCCCCGGCUAACUUCGUGCCAGCAGCCGCGGUAAUACGAAGGGGGCUAGCGUUGUUCGGAAUCACUGGGCGUAAAGCGCACGCAGGCGGACUGAUAAGUCGGGGGUGAAAUCCCGGGGCUCAACCUCGGAAUUGCCUUCGAUACUGCCAGUCUAGAGUCCGGGAGAGGUGAGUGGAAUUCCUAGU